ACCGACAUGGAUCUCAUCUCUUCGAGGCGACCAAGGUGCGCACUGCGUUGUGACACCCUCGGCAAUACCGGACGUCGCGUACGGAUCGGCAUCGGUUGACCAGCGCGUGAAGAACCAUUCGGUCUCAGCGGCCUGUCGUUAAAAGCCGCAGGUUCUUCUGGUGAAACGAGACACGUGUUGCAGAAGUUCGCAACGAUAAUAAUGUCCCACAUGUUUACUCGCGAUGACGUCGCGAGUUGGUGCCGAGUGCAGCAAUUCGAUUUUCAACCCCGAUAGAUAAUAGCGUUUUCGGUAAACUGAACGAGUCCUGAUCGAUCCGAGAACGACUGAAGAUAUCGUAAGCACAGAGCUUAUGAUGUCAUCGAUCGCUGCUGGAUCGGUGAAAAUCCGCUCAGUCGAAAACGCUACAAACUGCACUAGAUUGCGCUGUCUGCUGCACUUGCAAUAAAGUAGAUACAUGCUCGACAUUCGGUGGGAGAGAGAAGAAAAUAGAAAGAAAACAGAAAGACUGUAAGUUUUUUUCUAAAGUGCAGCUAUGAGGAAGAAAACUAUUGACUUUAAAGUGUUCGGUCAUACAAGGGGUGUAUGACGCUAUUAAGUAGCUAGUUGCAGCUAUUAAGUAGCUAAUGUUUUGAGAAUGAGGUCUAAAUGUCGCGUUCAACGUUAUGUACCCAUGGACAAAUUUUCGUUGCAAAAGUCGAAAUAGAAGUGACGUCAUUCCCACAUCAACAGAAAAGAAAAAUUUCGAGAAGACAUGCGUACAACGAGACGUUGGUGAGACGAGGCAAGAGUUAGUGUGUUGUAGCUGGAAAGUGCAAACGGCAAUCAAUAUAACAACUAAUGAGCAAACAACUAAUGAGAGAGAUUAAUUAAUUUAUUAGAGUUAUAUCAGUAAGAGUUAAUAAAAGUAAAAUAAGUGCAGGCGCGCGGAAUUGGUGAUGAAAAAAAGACUUAGGAUGGAGCCGAAGUGUUCUGGCACGCGAUGAAAAAUCAAAUGCGCCGACCACUUUCGCUUUCCUACAGACAAAAAAAGAAAAAGAGCUGUGAAAAAGAAAUCACAGCUUUCAUCAGAACGAUCUAAAAAUCAAAUUACUAAUCGCUAAUCGUGAAUCGUUCAUCGGCGAAACAAGAAUCAAGUAAUGACCAUCAGCAAUGACAAUCUACAACAACCAGGUUGCUGCUCUUCCAAGUCCCCGGGUUGAAAUACCGACGUACUCCCCGACCAAAUUCCCACGAGCCCGUCUUGCCAACCCCCGCGAACCUUCACUUCGUACUCUUCUCGCACGAUCCACCCUCGUAUGCAGAGCUUUUUGCAUGCAAGUCGGAGGCGGUCGCUACGGCGAGCCUCGUUUGUUUGCUCACUUAUCGUCUGUAAGGCCGGUGGGACCCGGGGGUGGGGGCCGUGGAGGAAGCGGUGGCGGUGGAUCGGAGCAAGGCAGCAUCACCGCGCCCGCAUGAAACGCAUCGGCUACGGUGACGACGAUGAUCGGGCAUCGCCGGCCAGGAUUGGUCAGGGCCUCGAGUAUGGGGGCGGCUUGGUCGGCGCGACGUCGAAAAUAUAAGCCUGUGUGAGUGGCGGCUGAUUAACCAGAGUCCGGGACGGAGUAGUGGCGCGAGAGUGGUGUCCCGAUAGUGAGAAGAGAGGACACAUUCAGGGAGAAAGCGAGCGGAUGCGUACGGAGAGUCGGCUCUCCGCGGCUCGUACAGGCGGAAAGGUGGUGUAAAGCGGCAGGUCGUAAGUCGUAGUCGUUCCCGUCGUCGUUGUUGUCGUCGUCGUCGUCGCCGUCGUCGUCGUCGAUUCGGUCGGUCUCCCAAGGUCCUGUCCGAUCAGCGAGCCCAACGAACGCGUCGGUAUCACGCGAGUUAACGCUGCUUAAAACUAAUCAAAAUUAAUCACAAGCUGGGCAACAAUUGAUCGCAAUUGCUGCGGACUCCAAGUCUUCGUCGUCGUGGUCACGGUGUGCGUAUGAGCGGGCAAUCGGCGACUCGUUUCUUCCUUCUUCUCGCAACAAGGGCGGCUCCACCGGAAAGCGGGAAGAGCCGCUGAGGCAACGUGCUCGAUCAUGAGACGUGCGGAACAGUCGGAGGGUACCGUUGCUCUUGGAUUUUAAUUUAAUCGAGGCAGUCGACAGCUUGUAAUCAAAAUCCAUUUUCGAUCGGCGGACGUUAGUUGAUGGAGGCAGCGAAGAGGAAGAAGAGAUUUCACGAUAGAUUACUUUAUGAACGUAGCAAACGAUGGACUCUGUGAUGCUCGCAAUUGCGUUUCGGAUUAAUUUCGGUUAAUUGGGAUCUUCGAUUACCUGCAAUUCAAAUCAACUGUCAUCGCUGAUGAAUAUUAUCAAGGUUACCGUUCAGUGGCGAGUUCAUCAAUAUGGUUUAUCGUUUAUACCCACUUAAGAAGACUCCACGUCGGACUGCUUGAUUAAGCCACACAUUUCUUCGGUUUUCUGUUUUCGGACAAGGAGACGUCGCGUUCUUCAUCAAUUCAGAACAGUUCAUCCGACAGGUCGAUUUUAAGACAACUUGUAUUAACAGAGACCCCCGAGUGAACCUGAAGUCAUGAUUUCAUGGAAGACACCUUCGCGCAAAGCUCUUCGGAAAGAACCAGUUGUCAAAGGCAGUGCGGGUCAGCCUGAAACGUCAUAACCAACUUGCAGCUCGAUCCUCUCGAGAAGUUCCGCCUCGAAUUAGACAAAAAAGUUUCAUAAUUAUAUUUCGCCUGCAACCAAAGGGCACCUUGAAUUUCAGCAGCGUCGAAGAAGAUCGCUCGUGAAGAUGGACGGCGCUCCUUUCGACGAUCCGAUUUUCUCAGACUUUGGUGCGCGCGGUGGCAGUGGUGUCCACAGCAUCCAAGUGAUGUUGGGUCUGCACGGCGGCCAUCACGGUGGCGAUCUGAUGCCGAGCGGCGGCCACAUCCACAAGCUGGAUUCACCAAACAGUCCGUCGGCGCAUCAUCAACAUCACCAGCUGCAGCAGCAACAGCAACAGCAACAAAAGGAGCUGAAGGAGCUCGAGUUGUCCGGCAUGUACGCACCUAUGGCGCAGACCCAGGACGUCACGACAUCCACUACGUCUGGUAGUGUCACGCCGACCUCGACGACGCUGCAACAGGGUCUGCAGCUGGGCAACGCGCUCGGCAAGAGGAAGCCAGACGAUCCCAUCAACGCGCUUGCUCCCGUCAGCAGCGAGGCACAGCCGGCCAAGAAAGAUUCGAAAAAGAAGACUGACAGUAAUAAUAUUAAGAAGAAGAAAACGAGAACAACCUUCACGUCUUUCCAACUGGAGGAAUUGGAGAGGGCUUUCGAGCGGGCGCCUUACCCGGACGUAUUCGCGCGUGACGAGCUCGCGAUGAGGCUCUCCCUGUCGGAGACGCGCGUGCAGGUGUGGUUUCAGAACCGUCGUGCCAAAUGGAGGAAGAAGGAACCGCCGCGAAAAACCGCAGGCUACAUGGCCGCGGGAUCGGCGAGCCCUGGUCUGUCAGGUUCCUUUACGUCUUUAAACAACACCCUGAAUCCAUUCGCGUCGCCGACCACGGCAACAGCACCGCCAGAUGCGUGGCCGUACUCCCCCGCGUACGACCUGGCGCCGCACUUGAAUCUGCUGAGCCCGUCCAAUUCACCGUACUCGACGUCCACGUUCGGUGGUGGCCCUGGGGGCGGCGGCAACGGCGGCGCUUAUUCUUACGCCGCCAGUAUGCUACCGCAACACGAUGCGGCGACGGCUGCGUUGUUUUCCACUCCAGCAGCGGCCGGGGUGAACGCCAUGCGCGUCCAUCAAGACUACAUGAGCCCGGCCGGCGGCGGCGGUGGCAGUCCGCCACCGCCGCCGGGUCCAGGGCCGCUUACCCGCGCCGACUACCAGACGAUGGUAACGACGCAUUCGCCGCCGGGCCAUCACCUCGGCAACUCAGGCAUGUCCGAGGACGAGCAUGGCAGCGGAUGCCUCGCCGACAAGUACGCGCAAGAGCAGACCGACUACGGCCAACAGCAGCAGCAGCAGUCGCAGCAGCCGACGGAUCAGAAACCUGACUACGGCAUGCACUCGCCGCAGACGCGUCAAGCAAUGAAGGAGCACCAAGUCAUGGUGAAGAGCGAGCCGAACAAUCAGCAGAGCUACGUGCAGCUGCCUCCUUUUCUGAACUGACUCGCGGCCUCCUGCGCUCUCGAUCACUUCUAGGUGAUUACACCGCGUCCAGAUGCGACCUGUCUCCGUCGGUGUCUCGCGAGCGCGACGAGUAUUAGAGUCCAUGGUACGCGGGCUCCAAAAUUGACAUCUUAUUUCUGAUUUCGUAACCGUUAUCGUAACAGAGACGCAGGUGGCUCUGCCGAGAAGUUAGUCGCAAUUGCUUCUCUUCUGACUUUAUCGACGUACAAGUAACUUCUUCGCAAAGAGCUUCCAGAGAUGACUUUGGACUCUGACUAUUGCAGCUCUUUCCAAAUCGAACGGUCGACGAGUUAUCUCUGCACCACGCCUUAAUGCGAUACCGCUGGAACAAUAUGAGUAAUGAGUAGUGAGGGAUGAAUCAAUUUGAGCUUGAAUGUUAAGGGAUUUAUAUAUAUGGUCGUUCUCGUGAGCAAUCGCGAAGAAUCGAGCGAGUUCUGUUCCCGGACAAAGGCGACAUCAUGUUUGAUAUAUAAGGACGUCGUAUAGAGAAAGAGUGUGAAUGAGAUCGAGAAAGUUGUAUCUUUACUGCUGUUAUUUCUUAUACUGAAGCGCACGAUUGAAACUAGGACAUGAUCAUAUUCGCGGCCAUUUUUUAUAAUUACGGACGGUUGGUCGCCGUUUUACUUCUUUCUGGAGAUUUCUUGAAUCGAAGCGCUAGCAAGACAUGAAUGCGCCGAGUCAUACGAUGCGAAUCAUGAGGAAAACGAAGUAACAGUUGUCCUUCACGUGUUUGGUUCGAUACCGAAAGCGGCGAGCUCAAUUUACUCGCAUCUUCGUCGCAAUAAUCGAGGAGUGACGGUGUCCUAAAGUUUAUAUUCAGCUAAUGAUGAAAUGUCGCGCGCUCGAGAAAAAAGAUGGGAAAAAUGUAUCAUUACAGAUCAUUAGCGAUCCAAUUUGACGAUAUUUACGUGCCUUCGACGAAUGAUUAACGCCUUCACGCAGUGCCUUUGUAUAAGAGAUGUGAACUUUAAUCAGAAUAAUUUUGCUUUGUAUCGCGGUAUACUCGAUUUCUAUGUGAGAAUAAUUUGUAAUAAAUGAAUGAGUGAUAAAACCAACUUGAUGUACAAGCGUUCUUUAUUUCCGUGCGCAAAUCGAUCAGUUGCGCUGAUUCUCCGUGAUAUUAACCAGCAUGAUCGACAGGAUCGUUUAGGGCAUAUAAUGCUCGCGAUAGCGAGCUAUUCGUCACUUUUACGAAGUCAAUGAAGUUUUUGUAAAUUAAAAUAUAUAAAUUUCUUCAUUUAUAUUCUCUUUCUACAAAAUGUAAUUUUUCAGCGUUAUUAGCUUUUCGAUUUACAACAAAUUUACGAUGUUUAUGUACAUUAUAUAUUUCAUUAUAUCGUCGUUACAGGUACCUCGUUCUUGUUACAUUAGCGUCAACUUUGUUAGUAAUCUUAACACUGGAAUCAU
rnacentral:misc_RNA from 1 species